rnacentral:rRNA from 1 species
AAGUGCCAGGAAAGAAUUAUUCAAGCCCUUCCCAGAAGGUAUCCUUCUGGCAAGGGUACUGUACUAAACUAACUAAAGUGGGGGAUAGUGAGGGGAUAAAUUUUCUUAAGGAACUCGGCAAAAUCCCAAUGGCCCACCAGGGCAUAUUGGAACACGGGCCUCGACUGUUUACCAAAAACAUAGCCCUCGGCUAAUAUGAAAAUAGAUGUAUAGAGGGUGAUGCCUGCCCAAUGGUUGUAUCUAAAAGCGGUUGAUAAAAGUUGACCUCGUAAGGACAAUUGAAUGGCCGCGGUAACACUGACCGUGAUAAUGUAGCGUAAUCAAUAGCCAAUUAAUUGUUGGCCAGUAUGAAUGGCGCCACGAAGGCCCCACUGUCUUAAGGAAAUUCCCAGUGAAAUUGAAUUCGUAGUGAAGAUGCUACGUCCAAUUUGUUAGACGAAAAGACCCCGUUGAGCUUUACUGGAGCACUUACAUGGCCCCGGCCUUCCCAUGCCUGGGAACCGGCCGAAUUUAAAUGGGCGGCUUAGAUUAUGUGGCAGCCCCCCGCUGGGGCAAAUGAAACACCACUCCCCCAUGUCAAAGGGGCUAACCCCCCCCCUUGGGGGGACAGUGUAAGUAGGACAGUUUGGUUGGGGCGACCACCUUUUAAAAAGUAACGAAGGUGCGCUUAAGGUGCGCAAUUAAUGACUGAAGCCUGACUGCGAGGGGGACACCCCGAGCAGACACCCCAAAGCCCGCCCGAAAGGCGGCGGUGGGGUGGGCCAUAGUGACCCGUUAAUUUAGAGUGGAAUAGUUAACGAUCAACGAAUAAAAGUUACCACGGGGAUAACAGCGUAAUAUCGUUAGAGAGUUCACAUCGACGACGAUGUUUGCGACCUCGAUGUUGAAUUGCGCUCCGGCCCAA